rnacentral:rRNA from 1 species
GACGAACGCUGGCGGCGUGCUUAACACAUGCAAGUCGAACGGAAAGGCCCUGCUUUUGUGGGGUGCUCGAGUGGCGAACGGGUGAGUAACACGUGAGUAACCUGCCCUUGACUUUGGGAUAACUUCAGGAAACUGGGGCUAAUACCGGAUAGGAGCUCCUGCUGCAUGGUGGGGGUUGGAAAGUUUCGGCGGUUGGGGAUGGACUCGCGGCUUAUCAGCUUGUUGGUGGGGUAGUGGCUUACCAAGGCUUUGACGGGUCGCCGGCCUGAGAGGGUGACCGGCCACAUUGGGACUGAGAUACGGCCCAGACUCCUACGGGAGGCAGCAGUGGGGAAUAUGGCACAAUGGGCGGAAGCCUGAUGCAGCAACGCCGCGUGCGGGAUGACGGCCUUCGGGUUGUAAACCGCUUUCGCCUGUGACGAAGCGUGAGCGACGGUAAUGGGUAAAGAAGCACCGGCUAACUACGUG